AUUUUCAAAUAAUGUAUUAGAUUAUUAAUGCAAGAUGUAUUUUAUAUACAUAUAACUGGUCAAAAGUAAAAAAAAAAAAAAAAAUAGCAAGAAAGCUUAAAAUUCUUUCUUGACCUCGAACGUGACUUCUAAUUUUUAAAUCAUUUUGUAUUAUGAUUGAUUUAUUGAUCGACAAAGCGGUUGUUGUGAGGUAAGAUCGAACCCAUAACGUGCACGUUAACAGCCAAAUCAUGAAUUUAUACAGAAAAUGUGGAGGCCAACAGAUGCAUAUGUAUUUUCAGUACUAAUGUAUGAACUGACAAGUCUUUUGUCUCCAUUACAGUACGCGUUUACCAUGUAUAUAAUUAUAUAAGAGUGCAAAUGAAUAGUAAAAAAGGAUUAAACAUAGAAUAUUAAAAAAAAAGAUAUUAAAAGGGAAUAGUUAAAAAGGCAGCAAUCUGACAACACGAGAGAACAAAAAAUGCAUUGACAUAUCUUAAAGAUGAGAACAUGUGGUAUGAUUGCCAAUGAGACAACUCUUCACAACAUAAGGUGACUUUAUAUGCUUCAAUGUUAACUAAAACGCCCAGAUUAUUUUGUUGUAAAUGUCUUUGGUAUGUAUACUCCACACUCUUUUCAUUCAUAUUCAGAAUAAAUCCGAG
rnacentral:lncRNA from 1 species